CCUCCAAUAUCAAGUUUGGAUUCAUUUAUCCUUCCAACCAAUCCAUUAAACCAAAUUGAGCCAUAGACAUAAAUAAUCAUCAAUUCAAUAGUAUAUCACCAUAUCCACCUUCCAUAACUCAAUUACCAUAUCCACCUUCCACAAUUCAAUACAACCAAACCAUGCAAAAUAGUCCAUAACCCUAUUUUCAUCACCUUUCAAUAACAACCAAUACAUAUAAUCCUCUAUCACACAUAUACAUAUGGAAAAGAACAAAGGCAAAUAAUAUUCAUACCUUAGAAUUCACCUCUUGAUUAUGCAAUCCUGUUUGCACAAAUAAUAGGUGUCGUUCGAAGCUCUCGAGAUGACAAACGCAGUUAUCGGAUUACUUUGGAAUUUCUACGGUUGAAUCAAAAGUAAUUUAAAGGUCAAAUUUGGCUAGGGUUUGUUCUUUCUCAAUGAUUGAUGAUGAAAAUGAGUUUUUGAACUCAUAUACAUGUAUAUAUACACAUAUUCCCGUCCAUAAUAUAAUAG
rnacentral:lncRNA from 1 species